rnacentral:rRNA from 1 species
UACGUAGGGUCCGAGCGUUGUCCGGAAUUAUUGGGCGUAAAGAGCUCGUAGGCGGUUUGUCGCGUCUGCUGUGAAAUCCCGGGGCUCAACCCCGUGACUGCAUCCGAUACUGUCAGGCUAGAGGUAGGUAGGGGAGAUCGGAAUUCCUGGUGUAGCGGUGAAAUGCGCAGAUAUCAGGAGGAACACCGGUGGCGAAGGCGGAUCUCUGGGCCUUACCUGACGCUCAGGCGCGAAAGCUAGGGGGAGCGAACAGG